rnacentral:rRNA from 1 species
AUUGAACGCUGGCGGCAUGCCUUACACAUGCAAGUCGAACGGCAGCACGGGAGCAAUCCUGGUGGCGAGUGGCGAACGGGUGAGUAAUACAUCGGAACGUGCCCAGUAGUGGGGGAUAACCCGGCGAAAGCCGGACUAAUACCGCAUACGACCUACGGGUGAAAGCGGGGGAUCGCAAGACCUCGCGCUAUCGGAGCGGCCGAUGUCAGAUUAGCUAGUUGGUGGGGUAAAGGCUUACCAAGGCGACGAUCUGUAGCUGGUCUGAGAGGACGACCAGCCACACUGGGACUGAGACACGGCCCAGACUCCUACGGGAGGCAGCAGUGGGGAAUUUUGGACAAUGGGCGCAAGCCUGAUCCAGCCAUGCCGCGUGCGGGAAGAAGGCCUUCGGGUUGUAAACCGCUUUUGUCAGGGAAGAAACGCUCCGGGCUAAUACCACGGAGUAAUGACGGUACCUGAAGAAUAAGCACCGGCUAACUACGUG